rnacentral:rRNA from 1 species
AGAAUCAACGCUGGCGGCGUGCCUAACACAUGCAAGUCGAACGCGAAAGUCCCGCAAGGGAUUAGUAGAGUGGCAAACGGGUGAGUAACACGUGGGUGACCUGCCUUCGAGUGGGGGAUAACGUCCCGAAAGGGACGCUAAUACCGCAUGACAUCCUGUCUUUGGAAAGACGGAGAUCAAAGCUGGGGAUCGCAAGACCUGGCGCUUGAAGAGGGGCCCGCGCCUGAUUAGCUAGUUGGUGGGGUAACGGCCUACCAAGGCGACGAUCAGUA